rnacentral:rRNA from 1 species
GACGAACGCUGGCGGCGUGCUUAACACAUGCAAGUCGAACGAAGAGCGAUGGAAGCUUGCUUCUAUCAAUCUUAGUGGCGAACGGGUGAGUAACGCGUAAUCAACCUGCCCUUCAGAGGGGGACAACAGUUGGAAACGACUGCUAAUACCGCAUACGAUCUAAUCUCGGCAUCGAGGAUAGAUGAAAGGUGGCCUCUACAUGUAAGCUAUCACUGAAGGAGGGGAUUGCGUCUGAUUAGCUAGUUGGUGGGGUAACGGCCCACCAAGGCGAUGAUCAGUAGCCGGUCUGAGAGGAUGAACGGCCACAUUGGGACUGGGACACGGCCCAGACUCCUACGGGAGGCAGCAGUGGGGAAUCUUCCGCAAUGGAGGAAAGUCUGACGGGGCAACGCCGCGUGAGUGAUGACGGCCUUCGGGUUGUAAAGCUCUGUUAAUCGGGACGAAAGGCCUUCUUGCGAAUAGUGAGAAGGAUUGACGGUACCGGAAUAGAAAGCCACGGCUAACUACGUG